rnacentral:rRNA from 1 species
AGCAUAUCCAUAAUCGGAGGAAAAGAAACUAACAAGGAUUCCCCUAGUAACGGCGAGUGAAGUGGGAAAAGCUCAACUUUGAAAUCUGGCACCUUCGGUGUCCGAGUUGUAGUCUCAAGAAGUGUUUUCUGUGCUGGUCCAUGUAUGAGUCUGUUGGAACACAGCGUCAUAGAGGGUGACAACCCCGUUCAUGACAUGGAUACCAGUGCUUUGUGAUACACUCUCGAAGAGUCGAGUUGUUUGGGAAUGCAGCUCAAAUUGGGUGGUAAAUUCCAUCUAAAGCUAAAUAUUGGCGAGAGACCGAUAGCAAACAAGUACCGUGAGGGAAAGAUGAAAAGCACUUUGGAAAGAGAGUUAACAGUACGUGAAAUUGUUGAAAGGGAAACGAUUGAAGUCAGACGUGCGUGAUGCGGUUCAGCACUGGUUCGCCAGUGUGUAUUCCGUAUCUUUGCAGGCCAACAUCAGUUUCGGUAGUCGGAUAAAGGUUAGUUGAAUGUGGCACCCUCGGGUGUGUUAUAGCUUCUAACUGAAUACGAUUUCUGGGACUGAGGAACGCAGCGCGCCGCAAGGCAAAGGUUCCGACCUUUUCGCGCUUAGGAUGUUGGUGAAAUGGCUUUAAACGACCCGUCUUGAAACACGGACCAAGGAGUCUAACAUGCUUGCGAGUGUUUGGGUGGCAAACCCAUACGCGUAAUGAAAGUGAAUGGAGGUGGGAUCCUUUACCGGAGCACCAUCGACCGAUCCGGAUUUUUAAUGAAGGGUUUGAGUAAGAGCACGUAUGUUGGGACCCGAAAGAUGGUGAACUAUGCCUGAAUAGGGUGAAGCCAGAGGAAACUCUGGUGGAGGCUCGUAGCGGUUCUGACGUGCAAAUCGAUCGUCAAAUUUGGGUAUAGGGGCGAAAGACUAAUCGAACCAUCUAGUAGCUGGUUCCUGCG